AUUGCAUUGUCUAUAUGUAGAAUUCAGCAGCAUGUCUUACGAUCUAUACUCUUAAUCUUUGAAUUUAUGGAUUAAUUAUUCAGUUAGUAUGUAUUUAUUUAGCACUUAGUUUGUCUCAGAAAUAGAAAAAAACUGUUUUUUUUUUUUUUAAUAGUGAACUGAAUUCAAAGCUGCAAGAUACUUUGGAACAGAUUGAGGAACAGCUGGACGUAGCUCUUUCCAAAAUCUGCAAGAAUUUUGACAUUAACCAUUAUACCAAGGUUCAACAAGCUUAUCGACUUCUUGGAAAAACACAGACAGCAAUGGAUCAACUUCAUAUGCACUUCACCCAAGCCAUUCACAACACCGUGUUUCAAGUUGUUCUUGGUUAUGUGGAACUAUGUGCAGGAAACACAGACACAAAAUUCCAAAAGCUGCAAUAUAAGGAUCUCUGUACACAUGUUACACCAGACAGCUAUAUUCCAUGCCUUGCAGACCUGUGCAAAGCACUAUGGGAAGUUAUGCUCAGCUAUUAUAGGACUAUGGAAUGGCAUGAAAAGCAUGACAAUGAGGAUACUGCUUCAGCUUCUGAAGGGAGUAAUAUGAUAGGUACUG
rnacentral:lncRNA from 1 species